ACGUGGGCAACCUGCCUGUAAGUUGGGGAUAACUCCGGGAAACCGGGGCUAAUACCGAAUGAUAAGAUGUGGCGCAUGCCACGCCUUUGAAAGAUGGUUUCGGCUAUCGCUUACAGAUGGGCCCGCGGUGCAUUAGCUAGUUGGUAGGGUAAUGGCCUACCAAGGCAACGAUGCAUAGCCGACCUGAGAGGGUGAUCGGCCACACUGGGACUGAGACACGGCCCAGACUCCUACGGGAGGCAGCAGUAGGGAAUCUUCCGCAAUGGACGAAAGUCUGACGGAGCAACGCCGCGUGUAUGAAGAAGGUUUUCGGAUCGUAAAGUACUGUUGUUAGAGAAGAACAAGGAUAAGAGUAACUGCUUGUCCCUUGACGGUAUCUAACCAGAAAGCCACGGCUAACUACGUGCCAGCAGCCGCGGUAAUACGUAGGUGGCAAGCGUUGUCCGGAUUUAUUGGGCGUAAAGCGCGCGCAGGCGGUCUUUUAAGUCUGAUGUGAAAGCCCCCGGCUUAACCGGGGAGGGUCAUUGGAAACUGGAAGACUGGAGUGCAGAAGAGGAGAGUGGAAUUCCACGUGU
rnacentral:rRNA from 1 species